rnacentral:ncRNA from 2 species
AUGAGGAUAAUGAGAGAUAUUCAUUUAGAAUGGCCGAAGAAGAAAUAUAGUGAUUUUGUCAAAUGACUAUAGAAGCUUUCAGGCAAAGGGAUUGUUAUCCGAUG